GAGGGUAUAGCUCAAUAGUGGAGUGCUGUGCUUAGCAUGCACGAGGUCCUGGGUUCAAUCCCCAGUCCCUACA
rfam:Camelus ferus unplaced genomic scaffold scaffold1347, whole genome shotgun sequence.